AACGGGACCGAGGGAAGCGGGGCGGGGCGAGGCGCCUCUUUUCAGAGCCCGGAUGGAACACCCACACUCGGAAGAGGUUUUGAAGGAGGAAGUGUCACACAUAUACGAAAUGCCUCCUGUGGACUGGCAAUUCUCUAUUCCCCUUGCCUCCCGUAUAAAGGGAAGAUCUUUGGAAUGUGUCUCCUACCGCACCAGGGCGGGUAAUGGUCCUUGAUGGUUGCUUGUCUCCUGUGCACCUUCUGGCUGCUCCCAGUCUGUAGAUGUUAAGAUCAUCAGACCCCCGCCGGUGAACAGCGUCUUUUGAAGAGGAACUUCAAUUCCCCUUCCCCUGGGCAAAGGCGAACAAACCCCUGACUAAAGUUACAUUAAAAAUGCUAGAAGUUGUAUCAUUUCCAACAAUCCCUCCAAUUUAAAUUGUGUUGCAAAGGCCCUAACUUUUGUCACAAAGUCACAACAACGGCAGAAGGAGGUGAUGUCUUGUAUUUUUAAAUCAGCCCUCACAGAAAAGAGUACUUUCAGUUUGAAGUACAGAGCAAACGAGUUAAAAAACACAACGGCCUGCAAAUUACCAUCAGAAGUGCCUUUGGUAGUAUCUUGCAAACCUUUCAGCUCCUUUGCAACACAGGAAAAGCUGGCUUUGGGUAACUAAAGUAGUUAUCAGUGCUAACAUACACUCUUUGCUUCUCCCUGACUAACACCUGAGGGAAACUUCUGGGAAUACGGUCGCAGUUCUAGCUGGUUUAUCAGCCCAGGUGAGUGAUACAGGAGAUAACAUUCAAGGUGUGGUUAGAUAAUACGGAAAAGACCACUGAGUGGCUCCCUGCCUUCAGA